GAGACCAAUUUAGGUUCAACAUUAUCGGGGAUGGGCCAGGGGAAGGGGGGAAAUUUUCUAAAUAAUUAGCCAUCUCCAAAAGGGGAUCAGGCUGCCUCCAAGGGGGCAUGUUUCUCCAUAAUGACAAUCUUCUGGCAUCGACUGGAAGACCCAGCUCCUGGGGAUGUGAUAAUGGAGACUACUUUCAGAAAACUACAUGGCAGCUGGACGGUGCUGUGAAUAGGGUGCCAGACCUAGAGGCAGGAAGACUCAUCUUCAUGAAUUCAAAUCUGGCCUGA
rnacentral:lncRNA from 1 species